rnacentral:tRNA from 7 species
GCUUGUCUAGCUUAGUCGGUAGAGCACAAGACUCUUAACCUUGAGGUUGCGGGUUUAAGCCCCAUUGUGGUCG